GUCCACGCCGUAAACGAUGAGAACUAGACGUCGGAGGGGUCUGCUCUUCGGUGUCGCAGCUAACGCGAUAAGUUCUCCGCCUGGGGAGUACGGCCGCAAGGUUGAAACUCAAAGGAAUUGACGGGGGCCCGCACAAGCUGUGGAGCAUGUGGUUUAAUUCGAUGCAACGCGAAGAACCUUACCUGGUCUUGACAUCCUCGGAACCUCGCAGAGAUGUGGGGGUCCUUCGGGAACCGAGAGACAGGUGCUGCAUGGCUGUCGU
rnacentral:rRNA from 1 species